GUCGACCUUGGGCUGGAACCAGGCUUCGAACUCGUCGCGUUCGAAGCCUUCGGCUAUUUCCGCCAGGGACGGCAGUUCGACUACCUCGGGUGAUGC
rnacentral:tRNA from 1 species